CAAUCUGUUUGAGGCAGAUCCUCAUCUAGUUGUGGCAGACUCACACUUAACUACUUAGAAUCACCCAUUAUAGUAGGCUCGACUACAUCACUUAUCUAAUCACAUGUCUUUUAGAACUACUUCCCAAACCUCUAAUAUUUAAAAA
rfam:Populus trichocarpa isolate Nisqually-1 chromosome 11, whole genome shotgun sequence.